AUUGAACGCUGGCGGCAGGCCUAACACAUGCAAGUCGAGCGAGCGGCGGACGGGUGAGUACUUUAUGGGGCUCUUCCCGAUUGAGGGGGAUAACUACUGGAAACGGUAGCUAAUACCGCAUACCAUCGGAUGUACCCAUAUGGGAUUAGCUAGUAGGUGAGGUAAUGGCUCACCUAGGCGACGAUCCCUAGCUGGUCUGAGAGGAUGACCAGCCACACUGGAACUGAGAAACGGCCCAGACUCCGACGGGAGGCAGCAGUGGGGAAUAUUGCACAAUGGGCGCAAGCCUGAUGCAGCCAUGCCGCGUGUAGGAAGAAGGCCCUAGGGUUGUAAAGUACUUUCAGUGGGGAGGCGUUACCGACAGAAGAAGCACCGGCUAACUCCGUGCCAGCAGCCGCGGUAAUUC
rnacentral:rRNA from 1 species